GGUUUUAUAGUCAAUUAUGAUUUUAGAUUGCAAAUUUAAAGGUAAAGUAAGCUUUUAAAACCU
rnacentral:tRNA from 1 species